rnacentral:rRNA from 1 species
UUGGUGGGCUCGCCCACCAUAGGACAACCCCAUAAACCUUUUUGUAAUAGCAAUCAGCGUCAGUAACAAUGUAAUAAUUACAACUUUCAACAACGGAUCUCUUGGUUCUGGCAUCGAUGAAGAACGCAGCGAAAUGCGAUACGUAGUGUGAAUUGCAGAAUUCAGUGAAUCAUCGAAUCUUUGAACGCACAUUGCGCCCUUUGGUAUUCCAAAGGGCAUGCCUGUUCGAGCGUCAUUUGUACCCUCAAGCUUUGCUUGGUGUUGGGCGUCUUGUCUCUAGUUCGCUGGAGACUCGCCUUAAAGUCAUUGGCAGCCGGCCUACUGGUUUCGGAGCGCAGCACAAGUCGCGCUCUCUUCCAGCCAAGGUCAGCGUCCAGUAAGCC